AAUGACAUAUGGAAAAACCUAUAUUUCUGAACAAAGAGCUAAUUUCAGAAGAGCUCUUACAAAGUUUUCACAAUUUUUAGUUAGAAAAACAACUAAAGAAAAAGAAGCUCGUUGUUAUAGGCCAAUUUUGGGCCAUUUUUUAAAAUAACUCGGGCCCAGUUACAUUUACAAAUGACCCCUUUAAAUUGCCUAAACCCGAAUGGCCCAUUUUACACCCUCAAUCCCUUACAAACUCAUCAGACCCACUUAAGCCCAAAUUACCCACUUAAACAACCUCUAAACCCAUUUACAAAUAAAACCCAAAUACCCCUAAACCCAUUACAAUCUAACCCAUACCCACUAACCUAAACCAACCAAGCCCACCUAAACUAAAACAAAACCCACCAAAUACCCUAGCCUCAUUCGGCUCCCACUUGUGCUGCCACUGCCACCAAAGCCUGCAGCACCGGCCACCUGCCCUCUGCGCCCCCAUCACCUCUCUACUGCUCCUGCAAGACAAAAAGGGACAAGACAAAAACUAAUAGAGAAUAAAUUGUAAGGCUAUAAAAAGCCAUGAAAAUCAAUGUAAAAGGGGGGUUGGGAUUCGGCAGUUUGAAAACACAAAAGAGAUAAGAAAAUAAUUCCAAAUCCAGAAUCAAAGUAGUAAUCCAAUCGAUAUCCAAGUGAAAGAACAGCACAAAAUCAAACUUUAAACAGCGAAUCAGAUAAUCAAAUCCAAAACCUAAGGUGAACAUUCUAUUUUUUUAUUUUUUUAAUUUUAUAUUCGAAUCUAUUUAUCAAUAUCUAUAAACACAUAAAUAAAUAAAUAACAAUACUAAUAAAAAACAUAUAAAAAUAACAUAAUAAAAAAGAAAAAAAAAGAGAAAUUUUACCUUUCACGGUGGCCGGCGCCGGCGCCGGCGAAGGUUUGGUGACGGACCGGUGAUCGGCCCCCUGGCCGGUAGCCCCCCUCUCUCCUUUCCCCUUUCCCUCCUCUCUCUCCCUCUCCUUUCUUCUCUCUUUUUUUUUUCUUUUCUCC
rnacentral:lncRNA from 1 species